CAAGAAAUGAAGAAGAGAUCUUGCUUGUACCUCCUAGGAGUAAUGGCAUAUAGGCAACCACAUUAUUGUUGAAACAAGACUACAAAGAAGGAGAAAUGAUGUUGAAGUCAGCACUGGCUUUAGCUAUCAAAGUGCUAAAUAAGACCAUGGAUGUUAGUUAACUGUUUGCUGAGAAAGGUAAUUCAUAUUCUCUCCUUUAAUUCACUCCAUUAGACCGAGUGAGUUAGGUUUUAAUGUGUUAUCCUAGUUCAUUGAAACAGCCGCCCUAUGAAUUAGGUAGUGUUAUUCCUGUCUUCUAACUGAGGACACUAAGACUUACUGAAGGUAAGUGAGUUGACCGAGAUCAACAUUGGUAAAUUGUGGACACACUAUUCUCAAUACUCACAGAGAGAG
rnacentral:lncRNA from 13 species